rnacentral:rRNA from 1 species
UACAGAGGGGCAAGCGUUAUUCGGAAUUAUUGGGCGUAAAGGGCGCGUAGGCGGUCUGACAAGUGGAAGGUGAAAUCCCCGGGCUCAACCUGGGAACUGCCUUCCAAACUGUUUGACUUGAGUCCGGAGAGGUGAGUGGAAUUCCCAAGUGUGAGCGGUGAAAUGCGUAGAUAUUGGGAGGAACACCAGUGGCGAAGGCGGCUCGACUGGACCGGAACGUGACGCUGAGGCGCGAAAGCGUGGGAGCAAACGGG